UUGUGGAGAAGGACGCCGAAGGUGGGGCUGAUGACUGGGGUGAAGUCGUAACAAGGUAGCCGUACCGGAAGUGCGGCUGGAUCACCUCCUAACAGGGAGACAAUAAAAUUGAUUGUGAUGUCUAGGUUUUUUAUUCUUAGGCCGCAAUCCUGUCACCUUAAGGUCGAUCGGUACCUCAGAUUUUUGAAUUAAUUUCAUAUUUUUUCUUUUAUUUCAGUUCCUAAACUUGUCUAGGUCACACCCAACAAAGGUUCCUCCUGGGCCAUUAGCUCAGGUGGUUAGAGCGCACCCCUGAUAAGGGUGAGGUCCCUGGUUCAAGUCCAGGAUGGCCCAUUCGUUGUUGGGGGUAUAGCUCAGUUGGUAGAGCGCCUGCUUUGCAAGCAGGAUGUCAGCGGUUCGAGUCCGCUUACCUCCACUGAAACUAUCCUGAUAACUAAAUUCUGGAGAAUAAUUUGUAGAUGUGACUUAGAUUUGUCUAUUGAAAAGAACCUAGCUUCUUAUCAUCUUUUAUAUAGUUGAUAACAUGCUGGGCUCCCAUGGAUUAAUUUCAUGAGAAUUCAGUAGAACCUUGAAAACUGCAUAGAUUAGAAAGAAUAAAGCAUCUCAUGGAUGCAUAAUUCUGUUUAAUAGUUUAGCCUCAAAACUAAAUUAUUAAUACAUGAAUUCAUGUUUAAUUCUUGAGUAAAAGCCGAGCACAAUUGAUUUUUGAUUGUAUUUAAGGUCAAGCUACAA
rnacentral:misc_RNA from 1 species